GAAAGCCGCAAGUUGUCUCCCGCACUAUCCUGCCCCUACAGCGCGAGGCCACCCGUGACAGACAGCUGGGCCCGGCGCGCACGAAGCUGCGCCAGGCACACGCAGCAGCCCAAACCCCCGCCCCCCUCGCCCGCGCCGCGUCGUCCUGAGAUUCGGCGGCCGCGCCGCCACCGCCGGAUCGCCGCUCGACCCUCGCUCGUCAAUCGUCAUCAGCCUGCAGAGCUGGAGUUGACCCCAGCACUAAACUUGCAUCAGCACACCGUCAGCUGUAGCCAACUAUGUUCCCCACCGAGAAGCAGAAAUAAGAAACAGGCUGAUUGCUGAUUGCCCAAUUUCAAGACACUCGAGAAACUAAAAAAGACCAAAAAAGGAAUCCCUGCUUUUAAUAUCAAAGCACCUGCCCUCUGAUAUCUAAAGCAAGGCCAAAAAAGGAGGCCAUCUCCCAGGUCCACAGAUUUGGCUUUGCAGCUGCAAACUCCCAGGUGAUGAACCAAUCCUGCCAUUAUUUCCUUUCUUAAGAUAAAAAAAAAGAACAGAGAGAGGUAACAUUCGCAUGUGGUCCUUCGUUUCCUAUUUCUACGAAGUGCAGGAUUGGCCUUCGAUUCCUCGCAGAUGGGUAAUUAGAUGAAGGAUUAGCCUGUUUCAAUAUAGGGGCAGGAGAAGCAGCCUCUUGAAACACUACCGACGGAGACAGCGUUAGUAUGUUUGUAGGAUUAGCCUGUUUCAAUAUAGGGGCAGGAGAAGCAGAGUUAGUAUGUUUGUAGGUGUACAAUAUAAAUAGCCUCUUGAAACACUACUGACGGAGACAGCGUCCCUUUUGAUUCUUUGAUGGUGAUCUCAUCUGCAUGCGUUGACUUUAGAUGACCUAAUUUCACAGUUGAUUCACAUAAAUCCCUUUCGAUGUUUUGGUGUUGCUUUAAUCUACAUUCCCUGAAAAUCAUAUUAUACCGGACCUAGCUUUGGUUGUCUGGUGGGAUUUGAUCUGGACCCUCUGCUUGCUGGGUUGGUGAAAUGAUGUGUCAUUAUUGUGUCGGUUUCUGGUUUAUGGUUGAAUGUUUUUUCUGGGGUUCAGAGACCAAUGGAGCCACGAAACAGGGUGAAGGAGUGCCCUGAAUCUACUUAUGCUUUCUACUUCAUCAAGAUCCGCCCAUUCGAGGAUCCUGAGCUGAGAGAAAAACUUGUGCUGGCUGACCAUGAAUUUCAGAAGAAGGUCCAAGCUCGUAAUAAAAUUAUUGAGGCUGCAAAAGCCAAGAAGGAGGAACGCUCCAUUAUAAUCUCAGAGCUGAAGACAUUGACUGCUGAGAACAAAGAAUACAAUGUAGUGGUGGAGACUCUUCAAAACUAUUUAGGCAUGUUUCGUGAUGGAAACAACACCAUGCAGGCACAGAGCACAGUUUUACGCUCUGUUGUUGAAGAACUUAACCCUUGGUCAACUCAUCUUUCACUGCUAUACUAUAAGUGGGUUUUCUCUCCAUUGCUCUUCAAUAGAUCAAAAUGUUGAGCGACCGCAUCGUCCAUGAGAGCAUAUCUAUACUUGAGGAGAAGCUUUUGCGUAAACAAAUUAAGGACAUUGAAGAAGCCAGAUCAAAGGUCAUUUAUCUCUCUACCAAUCGAGCUAAACUCCAAGAUACGGUGGAGGGAAAUGAGGCCACACAGGUCACUGAUAGAAUAAGAAAGGAGCAACAAGCAAUCAGAUCUAAGAUUAAUGUCUUAGAGGAUGAGCUAAAUGUUGUUUAUGCUGAGAUCGCAUCAAUUCAAGAAGAUUUAGAUGCAGCUACUGGCAGAAAGGACAAGGCAUAUGAGUCGUUGGCAGCAUUGAGACAAGCGCGUGAUGCGAAAAACGCCGCAUUCCUUCGAAACCGUCUGGUUCUGGAAAUGCUAGAGAUUACGCUUCAAGGGGAAUGGUGACAGGGCUGCAAGGGCUCCACAAGGCCGAGGUUGACGAGUUCAUGGCCCAGUGGUGCCGAAGCAAGGAUUUCAGAGAGGACUGCGAGGCGAGGACCCUCUCUUCUCUCAGCGACCGGCAACAGGAAAGAGAUGGCCGGACGAGGGACACAUAACCAGUGAAAUCGGCUAAGAAAUUGCUAGAGAUUCAAGAAGUAGGGUUGGUUUAUAUUGCACAGUGAAAAACACGACAUGAAUUUCGGGGUCAAUGUAUCCUUAAACUUCGGCGGAAUCCCAAUAUAAACACAGGAAGCACUUGGCAUGAUUCCUUGUGCCGUUAUUCAUAAAAAGAAACAGAAAAGGGCAGGGGCUGGACAUAUCUUUUUUUUGUGAACUCUUAAGAUAUUGUUCCAGCUGUGCGCUUUCUUUCAGUCUC